CCUACGGGUGACAGCAGUGAGGAAUAUUGGACAAUGGACGAGAGCCUGAACCAGCCAAGCAGCGUGAAGGAUGACUGCCCUAUGGUCUGUAAACUCCUUUUAUAUGGGAAUAAAAUGUUCCACGUGUGGGAUUUUGUAUGUACCAUAUCAAUAAGGAACGGCUAACCCCGUGCCAUCAGCCGCGGUACUACGGAGGGUCCGAGCGUUAUCCGGAUUUAUUGGGUUUAAAGGGAGCGUAGGUGGACUGUUAAGUCAGAUGUGAAAGUUUGCGGCUCAACCGUAGAAUUGCAGUUGAAACUGGCAGUCUUGAGUGCAGUAGAGGUGAGCGGAAUUCGUGGUGUAGCGGUGAAAUGCUUAGAUAUCACGAAGAACUCCGAUGGCGAAGGCAGCAUACCGGCGCCCAACUGACGCUGAGGCACGAAAGCGUGGGUAUCGAACAGGAUUAGAUACCUUGGUAGUC
rnacentral:rRNA from 1 species